CAAUAGCGUAUAUUAAAUUGUUGCGGUUAAACGCUCGUAGUUGGUAUCUGUGAGCGGGUUCCGGUCCUUCCAGUGAGAUACACGAACUCUGCUCGCAUUUGUUCAGGGAGGGUGGAUGCACUUCACUGUGUGACCACAUGAUCUGAAUUUUACUUUUGAGGAAAUGAGAGUGUUCCAAGCAGGCAAUCGCCGUGAAUAUGAUAGCAUGGAAUAAUAGCACAGGACUCUGGGUUCAAUGCUGUUGGUUGAUUGAACUCGAGUAAUCAUAAUAAGGAUAGUUGGGGUAUUCGUAUUUAACUGUCAGAGGUGAAAUUCUUGGAUUUUUUAAAGAC
rnacentral:rRNA from 1 species